AUUAGAUACCCUGGUAGUCCACACAGUAAACGAUGAAUACUCGCUGUUUGCGAUAUACAGUAAGCGGCCAAGCGAAAGCAUUAAGUAUUCCACCUGGGGAGUACGCCGGCAACGGUGAAACUCAAAGGAAUUGACGGGGGCCCGCACAAGCGGAGGAACAUGUGGUUUAAUUCGAUGAUACGCGAGGAACCUUACCCGGGCUCAAACGGGAGAUGACUCGGCCAGAGACGGCCGUUUCCGCAAGGACAUCUUCCGAGGUGCUGCAUGGUUGUCGUCAGCUCGUGCCGUGAGGUGUCGGCUUAAGUGCCAUAACGAGCGCAACCCCCACCGUCAGUUGCCAGCAGGUAAGGCUGGGGACUCUGACGGGACUGCCGGCGCAAGCUGUGAGGAAGGCGGGGAUGACGUCAAAUCAGCACGGCCCUUACGUCCGGGGCGACACACGUGUUACAAUGGCAGGUACAGAGAGAAGCCAGGUGGCGACACCGAGCGGAACUUCAAAGCCUGUCUCAGUUCGGAUCGGAGUCUGCAACCCGACUCCGUGAAGCUGGAUUCGCUAGUAAUCGCGCAUCAGCCAUGGCGCGGUGAAUACGUUCCCGGGCCUUGUACACACCGCCCGUCAAGCCAUGGAAGCCGGGAGUGCCUGAAGUGUGCGGCCGCAAGGAGCGCCCUAAGGUAAAACCGGUGACUGGGGCUAAGUCGUAACAAGGUACC
rnacentral:rRNA from 1 species